rnacentral:rRNA from 1 species
GGGUGCGAUCAUACUAGCACUAAUGCACCGGAUCCCAUCUGAACUCCGCAGGUAAUCGUGCUCGGGCCAGAGUAGUACUAGGAUGGGUGACCUCCUGGGAAAUCCUCGUGUUGCACCCC